rnacentral:rRNA from 1 species
UGGGGAAUUUUGCACAAUGGGGGAAACCCUGAUGCAGCGACGCCGCGUGAUUUAGAAGGCCUUCGGGUUGUAAAAAUCUUUUCUAUGGGAAGAAAAUGACAGUACCAUAGGAAUAAGGACCGGCUAAUUACGUGCCAGCAGCCGCGGUAAUACGUAAGGUCCGAGCGUUGUCCGGAAUCAUUGGGCGUAAAGGGUACGUAGGCGGGUAAGCAAGUUAGAAGUGAAAUCCUAUAGCUCAACUAUAGUAAGCUUUUAAAACUGCUCAUCUUGGGGUAUGGAAGGGAAAGGGGAAUUCCUAGUGUAGCGGUGAAAUGCGCAGAUAUUAGGAGGAAUACCGGUGGCGAAGGCGACUUUCUGGCCAUAACCUGACGCUGAGGUACGAAAGCGUGGGUAGCAAACAGG